rnacentral:rRNA from 2 species
UACAGAGGGUGCGAGCGUUGUCCGGAAUCACUGGGCGUAAAGGGCGCGUAGGCGGGCGAUCAAGCGUGCGGUGAAAGCUCGGGGCUCAACUCCGAGUCGGCCGUGCGAACUGGUUGUCUAGAGUCUGGUAGAGGUCGAUGGAAUUCCGGGUGUAGCGGUGGAAUGCGUAGAGAUCCGGAAGAACACCGGUGGCGAAGGCGGUCGACUGGGCCAGUACUGACGCUGAUGCGCGACAGCGUGGGGAGCAAACAGG